UUAAGCUAAUAAGAGCACACGGAGGAUGCCUAGGCGCUAGGAGCCGAAGAAGGACGUGGCGAACGACGAAAUCGCCUCGGGGAGCCGUAAGCAGGCAUUGAUCCGGGGAUAUCCGAAUGGGGAAACCCAGCUGAGGUAAUUCUCAGUUACUCACAUCUGAAUACAUAGGGUGUGCAGAGGCAUACGAGGGGAACUGAAACAUCUAAGUACCCUCAGGAGAAGAAAACAAAAGUGAUUCCGUCAGUAGCGGCGAGCGAAAGCGGAACAGCCCAAACCAGAGGGCUUGCUCUCUGGGGUUGUGGGACGUCAACAUAGGUGCAGCAGGGUAGACGAAGCGGUCUGGAAAGGCCGGCCAUAGAAGGUAAAAGCCCUGUAAUUGAAAUUCUGCGAACACCUUAGACGGAUCCCGAGUACCGCGAGACACGUGAAACCUCGUGGGAAGCAGGCAGGACCAUCUGCCAAGGCUAAAUACUCCCUAGCGACCGAUAGUGAAGCAGUACCGUGAGGGAAAGGUGAAAAGAACCGCGGGAGCGGAGUGAAAUAGAACCUGAAACCGUGUGCUUACAAGAAGUCAGAGCUCGUUAAUGAGUGAUGGCGUGCCUUUUGUAGAAUGAACCGGCGAGUUACGUUCCCGUGCAAGGUUAAGGUGAAGAGCCGAAGCCGCAGCGAAAGCGAGUCUGAAUAGGGCGACGAAGUACGUGGGCGUAGACCCGAAACCGUGUGAUCUACCCCUGUCCAGGGUGAAGGUGCGGUAACACGCACUGGAGGCCCGAACCCACGAAUGUUGAAAAAUUCGGGGAUGAGGUGGGGGUAGCGGAGAAAUUCCAAUCGAACUCGGAGAUAGCUGGUUCUCCCCGAAAUAGCUUUAGGGCUAGCCUCGGGAGAUGAGUAGUGGAGGUAAAGCACUGAUUGGGUGCGGGGCCCGCCAAGGGUUACCAAGUCCAGUCAAACUCUGAAUGCCACAUACUUUAUCCCGGGAGUCAGACAGUGAGUGCUAAGAUCCAUUGUCAAGAGGGAAACAGCCCAGACCAUCAGCUAAGGUCCCCCAGUGUGUGUUAAGUGGGAAAGGAUGUGGAGUUGCGCAGACAACCAGGAUGUUGGCUUAGAAGCAGCCACCAUUGAAAGAGUGCGUAAUAGCUCACUGGUCGAGUGACUCUGCGCCGAAAAUGUAACGGGGCUAAACACACCACCGAAGCUAUGGAUUGCGCAAACAAGAUUUGCGCUCUGGUAGGGGAGCGUUGUGUAUAGGUUGAAGGUGUACCGUAAGGAGCGCUGGACAGUACACAAGUGAGAAUGCCGGUAUGAGUAACGAAAAGAUCAGUGAGAAUCUGAUCCGCCGAAAGCCUAAGGGUUCCUGAGGAAGGCUCGUCCGCUCAGGGUAAGUCGGGACCUAAGGCGAGGCCGAAAGGCGUAGUCGAAGGACAACAGGUUGAAAUUCCUGUACCACCGUGAACCGUUAUGAGCAAUGGGGUGACGCAGAAGGAUAGUGACGCGGGCUGAUGGAUGCCCGUCCAAGCAGAGAGGCUGAUGUGUAGGCAAAUCCGCACAUCAUUAGGCUGGUCUGUGAUGGGGAGCGAAAAUAACAGUAGCGAAGGUCAUGAGUUCAGGCUGCCAAGAAAAGCCUCUAGCCAGGGAGAAGGUGCCCGUACCGCAAACCGACACAGGUAGGCGAGCAGAGCAUGCUAAGGCGCGCGGAAGAACUCUCGUUAAGGAACUCGGCAAAAUGACCCCGUAACUUCGGGAGAAGGGGUGCCUCGGUAGGGUGAAUAGCCCGAGGGGGCCGCAGUGAAAAGGCCCAAGCGACUGUUUAGCAAAAACACAGGUCUGUGCGAAGCCGCAAGGCGAAGUAUACGGGCUGACGCCUGCCCGGUGCUGGAAGGUUAAGGGGAGUGGUUAGGGAGCAAUCCCGAAGCUAUGAACCGAAGCCCCAGUAAACGGCGGCCGUAACUAUAACGGUCCUAAGGUAGCGAAAUUCCUUGUCAGGUAAAUUCUGACCCGCACGAAUGGCGUAACGACUUGGGCGCUGUCUCAACGAGAGAUCCGGUGAAAUUUUAAUACCUGUGAAGAUGCAGGUUACCCGCGACAAGACGGAAAGACCCCAUGGAGCUUUACUGCAGCUUGAUAUUGGACUUUGGUACGAUCUGUACAGGAUAGGUGGGAGCCUGAGAAGCAUGAGCGCCAGCUUGUGUGGAGGCGACGUUGGGAUACCACCCUGAUCGUAUCGGAGUUCUAACCUGGUACCGUGAACCGGUAUGGGGACAGUGUCAGGUGGGCAGUUUGACUGGGGCGGUCGCCUCCUAAAGUGUAACGGAGGCGCCCCAAGGUUCCCUCAGAAUGGUUGGAAAUCAUUCGAAGAGUGCAAAGGCAGAAGGGAGCUUGACUGCGAGACAAACAGGUCGAGCAGGGACGAAAGUCGGGCUUAGUGAUCCGGUGGUACCGAAUGGAAGGGCCAUCGCUCAACGGAUAAAAGCUACCCUGGGGAUAACAGGCUUAUCUCCCCCAAGAGUCCACAUCGACGGGGAGGUUUGGCACCUCGAUGUCGGCUCAUCGCAUCCUGGGGCUGAAGUAGGUCCCAAGGGUUGGGCUGUUCGCCCAUUAAAGCGGUACGCGAGCUGGGUUCAGAACGUCGUGAGACAGUUCGGUCCCUAUCUGUCGUGGGCGCAGGAAAUUUGAGAGGAGCUGUCCUUAGUACGAGAGGACCGGGAUGGACGUACCGCUGGUGUACCAGUUGUUCCGCCAGGAGCAUGGCUGGAUAGCUACGUACGGACGGGAUAAGCGCUGAAAGCAUCUAAGCGUGAAGCCCCCCUCAAGAUGAGAUUUCCCAGUAAGUAAGACCCCUUGAAGACGACGAGGUAGAUAGGUUCGGGGUGGAAGCACGGCAACGUGUGGAGCUGACGAAUACUAAUCGGUCGAGGGCUUAACCAA
rnacentral:rRNA from 1 species